rnacentral:sRNA from 1 species
UAUAAUGAGUGUGAUUAAAUUCAGCGAAAUCUGCUGAGUUUCAUACGAAGCCAGUAUUACCUCUAAGGGGGUAUGGAUUAUUGUUCGGUAUCAAACAGGCAUAAAAAAAGCGCCCGGAGGCGCUUUUUAAGAUCA